rnacentral:rRNA from 1 species
CCUGUGAGGGUUGCUGGAGGUAUCAGAAGUGCGAAUGCUGACAUAAGUAACGAUAAAGCGGGUGAAAAGCCCGCUCGCCGGAAGACCAAGGGUUCCUGUCCAACGUUAAUCGGGGCAGGGUGAGUCGACCCCUAAGGCGAGGCCGAAAGGCGUAGUCGAUGGGAAACGGGUUAAUAUUCCCGUACUUGGUGUUACUGCGAAGGGGGGACGGAGAAGGCUAUGUUGGCCGGGCGACGGUUGUCCCGGUUUAAGCGUGUAGGUGUGUGUUCCAGGUAAAUCCGGUUCACUUUAACACUGAGGCGUGACGACGAGGCACUACGGUGCUGAAGCAACAAAUGCCCUGCUUCCAGGAAAAGCCUCUAAGCAUCAGGUAACAUCAAAUCGUACCCCAAACCGACACAGGUGGUCAGGUAGAGAAUACCAAGGCGCUUGAGAGAACUCGGGUGAAGGAACUAGGCAAAAUGGUGCCGUAACUUCGGGAGAAGGCACGCUGACACGUAGGUGAAGUGAUUUACUCAUGGAGCUGAAGUCAGUCGAAGAUACCAGCUGGCUGCAACUGUUUAUUAAAAACACAGCACUGUGCAAACACGAAAGUGGACGUAUACGGUGUGACGCCUGCCCGGUGCCGGAAGGUUAAUUGAUGGGGUCAGCGCAAGCGAAGCUCCUGAUCGAAGCCCCGGUAAACGGCGGCCGUAACUAUAACGGUCCUAAGGUAGCGAAAUUCCUUGUCGGGUAAGUUCCGACCUGCACGAAUGGCGUAAUGAUGGCCAGGCUGUCUCCACCCGAGACUCAGUGAAAUUGAACUCGCUGUGAAGAUGCAGUGUACCCGCGGCAAGACGGAAAGACCCCGUGAACCUUUACUAUAGCUUGACACUGAACAUUGAGCCUUGAUGUGUAGGAUAGGUGGGAGGCUUUGAAGUGUGGACGCCAGUCUGCAUGGAGCCGACCUUGAAAUACCACCCUUUAAUGUUUGAUGUUCUAACGUGGACCCGUAAUCCGGGUUGCGGACAGUGUCUGGUGGGUAGUUUGACUGGGGCGGUCUCCUCCUAAAGAGUAACGGAGGAGCACGAAGGUUGGCUAAUCCUGGUCGGACAUCAGGAGGUUAGUGCAAUGGCAUAAGCCAGCUUGACUGCGAGCGUGACGGCGCGAGCAGGUGCGAAAGCAGGUCAUAGUGAUCCGGUGGUUCUGAAUGGAAGGGCCAUCGCUCAACGGAUAAAAGGUACUCCGGGGAUAACAGGCUGAUACCGCCCAAGAGUUCAUAUCGACGGCGGUGUUUGGCACCUCGAUGUCGGCUCAUCACAUCCUGGGGCUGAAGUAGGUCCCAAGGGUAUGGCUGUUCGCCAUUUAAAGUGGUACGCGAGCUGGGUUUAGAACGUCGUGAGACAGUUCGGUCCCUAUCUGCCGUGGGCGCUGGAGAACUGAGGGGGGCUGCUCCUAGUACGAGAGGACCGGAGUGGACGCAUCACUGGUGUUCGGGUUGUCAUGCCAAUGGCACUGCCCGGUAGCUAAAUGCGGAAGAGAUAAGUGCUGAAAGCAUCUAAGCACGAAACUUGCCCCGAGAUGAGUUCUCCCUGAGACUUAGAGUCUCCUGAAGGAACGUUGAAGACGACGACGUUGAUAGGCCGGGUGUGUAAGCGCAGCGAUG